rnacentral:RNase_P_RNA from 1 species
GAGAGGGAGUGUGCGGCUGACGGUGGCAUGAAAUGCUGCUGAGGAAAGUCCCCACACCAACCGGACGCGUAGCCGCAUGCAAGUGCGGGUGGCGAGAGUCACGGCUCUGACACAGAAACGACACGCCCUGCCGUUAGCGAUGAUGCGACUGAGCCAUCAGUAUAUGCUGGUGGCAAGAAGGCACUCGCGUGCUGAGUUAACUCGCUGAUGCUCUGAUCGGCAGGAUUCGAUGGAACGGUGAAACCCUAUGGGUGCAAGCCAGAACAGGGCAUACGGGCUGUCCGGGCCUGCCCAGGUAUGGCGCGUAGCUGAAUGCCGCAUAGAAACAGAAUGGGGCUUACUACUCCCACUC